rnacentral:rRNA from 1 species
CAGCAGCCGCGGUAAUACGUAGGGGGCAAGCGUUGUCCGGAUUUAUUGGGCGUAAAGAGCGUGUAGGCGGCCAGGUAGGUGGGUUGUGAAAACUGGAGGCUCAACCUUCAGACGUCGACCCAAACCCCCUGGCUAGAGUCCGGAAGAGGAGAGUGGAAUUCCUGGUGUAGCGGUGAAAUGCGCAGAUAUCAGGAAGAACACCCGUGGCGAAGGCGGCUCUCUGGGACGGUACUGACGCUGAGACGCGAAAGCGUGGGGAGCGAACAGGAUUAGAUACCCUGGUAGUCCACGCCGUAAACGAUGGGUGCUAGGUGUGGGGGGUGUCAACUCCCUCCGUGCCGAAGCUAACGCAUUAAGCACCCCGCCUGGGGAGUACGGCCGCAAGGCUAAAACUCAAAGGAAUUGACGG